UAAAAGAAGAUUGUGUAUUUUGUAUUUAUUUUUUUAGGAAACUCAGAGAUUUCUACCUUCAUGAAAGGCCCAUGUAUUCUCCUAGAGAGCCUGAAGUCUCCACUAAACCCAUUCUUCUGUUUAGAGGCUUAAAGCCCUGAAGUUGGUGUCUCUGCUUAGAAGAACAGACCUACUGGACCAUCUGUGGGUUCCCUGUGUGCACAGGUCAUAAGUUCUCACAUUGUUUCCAGGUAAAAAUCCCUGCUUCUGAUUUAAAUUCAAUUCUACAUGCAUUUAUGAAGGAAGGAAAA
rnacentral:lncRNA from 1 species